GUGUGUGUGUGUGUGUGUGUGUGUGUGACGGCUUCACUCGAGGAGACUCUCUGGAUGUGUUUGGACGCUAAAGGCUCAGAUGUGAGCAGGUCAUGCGCGAGACUGGGUUUCAGUCCUAUGUCUUCUGGAGUAACAUAACUUGUGUGGAAUAAACUCGCUUCCAGGACUGACAGAAGAAACAGCAGGAACCAAUGCUCCGUGGGUCCACCCUGACUUCGCGUCGCGCUUCCUGAAGAAAGGAAAAGCCCUGAUGUGCUUGUCACCCGAGCUGACGGCCGGGGCUUCGUGAUGGAGGCCGAAUGUCUUCGCUCGGACCCUCUUCAGACACUCAAAGGCCGCUCUGUUUCAGCCUGAUGACGAGCCGAUUGGAUAUAAUCUUGAGCGGCGGACUCAGGAGAUGGGGAGGGAUAGGGAAACUCUACAGAAGGCUUUGCAGGGAAGGAUCGUCUUUCUCCAGAAGUCGGAAACGAGCGUCGGAGGGUUUCUGCUGCCAGUCGGCUCUCUCCUCCUGUUACGACACGGGACCAAAUUCAAACCAUGUGUCCUCGCACCCGGUUAGCUGCUUUUGCCCACCUCUAGCAUUAGCGGUCUGGACGGAUCCAUUUCACUGCCCCUCUCCCGUGCGGCGUUCUCAUUCUCCCAGCCCCAAAUGAGCCUCUCCGUGGGACUCCUGGCUUAAUAGGCUGGAACUUCCCCAUGUCCGGUCUCCGAAGGUGGCUGUUAUCCUCCGAGGGCCCCUGUGCGAGUUUCAAGCUCGGGCUCAUGUUAUGGGCUGGGCGAGGUGGACUCCAGGAUGUCAGAAUGUGACGCUUCACACAGAUUUUCACGGUAGUGUCUGAGCAGACCUGUGGGUGAGUGUGACAGCUGGUUUCUCCACAUCAUGGAUUGGUCAGAGAUAUCUGGAGAUGCUCAUUUCAUAAGUGGAUUUCAGUUGUGAGGACUACACGUCACAGCAUCUGCUGUUUCCGUUUCCGUUUGCCAUGCUUUGACUGCAGAUACUGGAUUACUCGGACUGUUUUCUACUUUACGUCAUUUGUUGUCUACUGACUGGUCAGUACGCUGUUCCAGUCAUGCUAAAAUAUACAAUACACAUACAGUAGUUAUGCUGUUGAAACUCAUGUUCACUCCACCCAUAGAUGCUCUACUGAAUAAUAUAGAAAUGUUGUUUUAUAAAGAAAUAAGGCACUUUAUGUUGUGCUAUGUUGUAAAUGACUACAGUAUAUCACAAUCUAACACAUCCUCUUGUACAAUAUUGCUUCCUUUUAAUACAUAAAUAUUGUUUACAUGUGUGUAUAAUUGAUAUGAUAUUAUUUUUUUUAAUUGU